GACGAACGCUGGCGGCGUGCUUAACACAUGCAAGUCGAACGGUGAAGCGCUUGCCUUUUUGGUUGGUGUGGAUGAGUGGCGAACGGGUGAGUAACACGUGAGUAACCUGCCCUCUUCUUCUGGAUAACCUCAUGAAAGUGGGGCUAAUACGGGGUAUUCCGGGUCUGUCGCAUGGCGGGUUUGGGAAAGAUUGCGCCUUUGGGUGUUUUCGGUUGGGGUUGGGCUCGCGGCCUGUUAGCUUGUGGGUGGGGUGAUGGCCUACCGAGGCGGUGACGGGUGGCCGGCCUGAGAGGGUGGACGGCCAGACUGGGACUGAGACACGGCCCAGACUCCGCGGGAGGCAGCAGUGGGGAAUAUUGCACAAUGGGAGCAAGCCUGAUGCAGCGACGCCGCGUGAGGGAUGGAGGCCUUCGGGUUGUGAACCUCUUUCGCCAGGGAAGGAGGCCUGCUCCUGUGUGGGUGGGUUGACGGUAGCUGGAUAAGAAGCGCCGGCUAACUACGUG
rnacentral:rRNA from 1 species